AGUUCCCGUACGAUCACCGGUUAAGCCACGUCGAGCCUGGUUAGUAGAUAGAUGGGCAACCGCUUGGGAAUACCAGGUGCUGUAAG